AGCCUCCCAAAGUGCUGGGAUUAAAGGCGGUAGCCACCACGCCUGGCCUCCAAAGUUUAUUUUUAAGCCUGUCACAUCUCACCUUAAAUGUGUAAGUCUCCAAAUUGUAAGGCUUUAAACAAAGGAAAGUUCCAUGGGAAUACUAUAUGAUGCCUACUGUUAAGAACGCGAUAACAGGAGCUGGAGGCUGGCCCAUCCACUCCAAGCCAGAGAAUAAGCAGAGGCUGCCACAGGAGAUCCUAGGCAAGCAAUCAGCCACAGCAUCUAGAUUAGCAUGAAGGAAACACUGGCCAAAUUAAAAGAUGAAACUUCCAAAAGGUAAA